rfam:Asian citrus Psyllid, Diaphorina citri - Florida Strain, whole genome shotgun sequence.
GCUACCAUGGCGUAGUGAACACUGCACUCGCCUUGCACGCGGGAGAUCCGGGUUCGAUUCCCGGCGGGGUCA